AUACGUAGGGGACGAGCGUUGUCCGGAAUUACUGGGCGUAAAGGGCGCGCAGGCGGAUAUUUAAGUCAGCUGUAAAAGGCAUGAGCUCAACUCAUGUAUGCGGUUGAAACUGGGUAUCUAGAGUGCUGGAGAGGUAGGCGGAAUUCCCGGGGUAGCAGUGAAAUGCGUAGAUAUCGGGAAGAACACCAGUGGCGAAGGCGGCUUACUGGCCAGCAACUGACGCUGAGGCGCGAAAGCCAGGGGAGCGAACGGGAUUAGAUACCCCGGUAGUCCUGGCCGUAAACGAUGAAUGCUAGGUGUGGGUGUCGAGAGGCAUCCGUGCCGGAGUUAACGCGAUAAGCAUUCCGCCUGGGGAGUACGAUCGCAAGAUUGAAACUCAAAUGAAUUGACGGGG
rnacentral:rRNA from 1 species